GACGAACGCUGGCGGCGUGCUUAACACAUGCAAGUCGAGCGGUAAGGCCCUUUCGGGGGUACACGAGCGGCGAACGGGUGAGUAACACGUGGGUGACCUGCCCUCAGCUCUGGGAUAAGCCUGGGAAACCGGGUCUAAUACUGGAUAUGACUCCAUGACGCAUGUUGUGGGGUGGAAAGCCUUGUGCGGCUGAGGAUGGGCCCGCGGCCUAUCAGCUUGUUGGUGGGGGAUGGCCUACCAAGGCGACGACGGGUAGCCGGCCUGAGAGGGCGACCGGCCACACUGGGACUGAGACACGGCCCAGACUCCUACGGGAGGCAGCAGUGGGGAAUCUUGCGCAAUGGGCGAAAGACCUGACGCAGCGACGCCGCGUGAGGGA
rnacentral:rRNA from 1 species